rnacentral:tRNA from 1 species
GUCAGAGAAGAGUACUUUGGUAACUCGUUAGGCUCAUGUCCUAAAGAUUGUAGGUUCAAAUCCUGCCUCUGAUA